GAAGGAUUCGAGCGUUAUCCGGAUUUAUUGGGUUUAAAGGGUGCGUAGGCGGACUGAUAAGUCAGCGGUGAAAGCCUGUUGCUUAACAACAGAACUGCCAUUGAUACUGCCAGUCUUGAGUACAGUUGAGGUAGGCGGAAUGUGUCAUGUAGUGGUGAAAUACUUAGAUAUGACACAGAACACCGAUUGCGAAGGCAGCUUGCUAAACUGUAACUGACGCUGAGGCACGAAAGCAUGGGGAGCAAACAGGAUUAGAUACCCUGGUAGUCCAUGCCCUAAACGAUGAUUACUCGAUGUGUGCGAUACACAGUACGCGUCUAAGCGAAAGCAUUAAGUAAUCCACCUGGGAAGUACGACCGCAAGGUUG
rnacentral:rRNA from 1 species